rnacentral:rRNA from 1 species
UACGGGGGGGGCAAGCGUUGUUCGGAAUUACUGGGCGUAAAGGGUUUGUAGGUGGCUUGCUAAGUCAGACGUGAAAUCCCUCAGCUUAACUGGGGAACUGCGUCUGAGACUGGCGAGCUUGAGUGCAGGAGAGGAACGCGGAAUUCCAGGUGUAGCGGUGAAAUGCGUAGAUAUCUGGAGGAAUACCGGUGGCGAAGGCGGCAUCCUGGACCGAGAUUGACACUGAGGAGCGAAAGCCAGGGGAGCAAACGGG